GCCGAAGUGGCGGAAUUGGCAGACGCGCUAGGUUCAGGACCUAGUCCUCGCAAGAGGGUGGAGGUUCAAGUCCUCUCUUCGGCA
rnacentral:tRNA from 1 species